AGUGUAUGGGUAUGGCUGUGGGCAAGUUGGAGGAAACAGACUCAAAAGAGCUGGAAGAACGAAUUUUAUUGGGCAUGAGCUGAGAGAAGUAAUUUUACUAGGCAACAAACUCCAAAAAGGCUACAGCACACUUGAUUAUGCAAUUCGUGUAUGGAUAUUUGGUUGGCGUGUUGAGAUGGCAUUCAUUUCAUGGCAA